AUGGUGAACGCUGCCCUGCUUCUCCUCAUCACGGUGCUGGUCACCGCCGAUGGCAUUACCGCAGCCACGGCCGGCGCCAGCGCGAGCCUGCAGCCGGCGGCAAGGAGGAGUCGUUUCCUGCUAGUUGGCGGCGCUGGCCUCCCGCCUCUACCGGCGUACGAGUGCUCGAAGAAGUCAGCCGAAGCAUGCCUCGCGACGGGGAAGGCGUGCUGCAGCGGUCAGUGCGUGGACACCGUCGCCAGCGCCCAGCACUGCGGCGGCUGCAACAAGGCGUGCAAGCACGGCCGGACGUGCUGUGGCGGCCGCUGCGUGGAUCUGCUCUCCGACAAGAAGAACUGCGGCAUCUUCUCUAACAAGUGCGACAACAAGUAG
rnacentral:rRNA from 1 species